AUUGAACGCUGGCGGCAGGCCUAACACAUGCAAGUCGAACGGUAACAGGAAGAAGCUUGCUUCUUUGCUGACGAGUGGCGGACGGGUGAGUAAUGUCUGGGAAACUGCCUGAUGGAGGGGGAUAACUACUGGAAACGGUAGCUAAUACCGCAUAACGUCGCAAGACCAAAGAGGGGGACCUUCGGGCCUCCUUCCAUCGGAUGUGCCCAGAUGGGAUUAGCCAGUAGGUGGGGUAACGGCUCACCUAGGCAACGAUCCCUAGCUGGUCUGAGAGGGUGACCGGGCACACUGGAACUUAGACAAGGUCCCGACUCCUAAGGGAGGGAGCAGGGGGGAAUUUUUCGCAAUGGGGGAAAGCCUGAAGGAGGCAAGCCGCGGGAGUGAAGAAGGGCUUCGGAGUGUAAAACUAUUUUAGGAGGGAAGAAAAGAUGUGAAAGUAAAUCUUUACCUCUUUACGGUACCCAACAAAAAAGCCACGGGUAAAUCCGGG
rnacentral:rRNA from 1 species